rnacentral:lncRNA from 1 species
GUCGUGCUCAUGCUCCUCAGCUUUUGUCCCUUGGUGACCUGCAUCCUUGCGACGUUUUGUCUUAUGCAAAAAGCUUCCUGAACUCCCACAUCGUUCUCGUCCAACUUGCCAAUAACCUCCACAAAACUACCCAUCUUAUCUGAAAUUUCUGAGCACAAUGUGCUGAGCAUUGAUGCAAUCUUCCUCUUGUUCUAUGUAAGAUUAAAAGAAAAAGCGUGUUAUAAAAGGUAAAA